AACCAAUGGCCUCCUGAACGUGCGUUGCACUCUGGGUUUCUGCUUCAGUGCUUAA
rnacentral:rRNA from 1 species